rnacentral:tRNA from 1 species
GGAGAGCUGACCGAGAGGCCGAUGGUGCUCGCCUGCUAAGCGAGUGUACCCCACAAGGGUAUCCGGGGUUCGAAUCCCCGGCUCUCCGCCA